rnacentral:rRNA from 1 species
AUACGAAUGGAGCGAGCGUUGUUCGGAAUCAUUGGGCGUAAAGCGUAUGUGGGCGGACUUGAAAGUCAGAAGUGAAAUCCCGAGGCUCAACCUCGGAAUUGCUUUUGAAACUCCAAGUCUCGAGUCCCGGAGGGGUUGACGGAAUUCCUAGUGUAGAGGUGAAAUUCGCAGAUAUUAGGAGGAACACCAGUGGCGUAGGCGGUCAACUGGACGGGUACUGACGCUGAGAUACGAAAGCGUGGGGAGCAAACAGGAUUAGAAACCCGAGUAGUCC